GGUCAGAUAGCCUAGUGGUAAGGCAACUCAGUACUAGUGGGAGGACCCGGGUUCGAUUCCCGGUCAGACCA
rfam:Coniophora puteana RWD-64-598 SS2 unplaced genomic scaffold CONPTscaffold_3, whole genome shotgun sequence.